rnacentral:rRNA from 1 species
UACGUAGGGUCCGAGCGUUGUCCGGAGUUACUGGGCGUAAAGGGCGCGUAGGCGGCCUGCUAAGUCGAACGUGAAAUCCCCGGGCUCAACCCGGGAACUGCGUCCGAUACUGGUUGGCUUGAAUCCGGGAGAGGGAUGCGGAAUUCCAGGUGUAGCGGUGAAAUGCGUAGAUAUCGGAAGGAACAUCAGUGGCGAAAGCGACUUCCUGGACCAGUACCGACGUUCAGGCACGAAAGCGUGGGGAGCAAACAGG